rnacentral:rRNA from 1 species
UAGCUAGUUGGUGAGGUAACGGCCCACCAAGGCGACGAUCGGUAGCCGGACUGAGAGGUUGAACGGCCACAUUGGGACUGAGACACGGCCCAGACUCCUACGGGAGGCAGCAGUGGGGAAUAUUGCACAAUGGGGGAAACCCUGAUGCAGCGACGCCGCGUGGAGGAAGAAGGUCUUCGGAUUGUAAACUCCUGUUGUUGAGGAAGAUAAUGACGGUACUCAACAAGGAAGUGACGGCUAACUACGUGCCAGCAGCCGCGGUAAAACGUAGGUCACAAGCGUUGUCCGGAAUUACUGGGUGUAAAGGGAGCGCAGGCGGGCGAUCAAGUUGGAAGUGAAAUCCAUGGGCUCAACCCAUGAACUGCUUUCAAAACUGGUCGUCUUGAGUAGUGCAGAGGUAGGCGGAAUUCCCGGUGUAACGGUGGAAUGCGUAGAUAUCGGGAGGAACACCAGUGGCGAAGGCGGCCUACUGGGCACCAACUGACGCUGAGGCUCGAAAGUGUGGGUAGCAAACAGGAUUAGAUACCCUGGUAGUCCACACCGUAAACGAUGAUUACUAGGUGUUGGGAGAUUGACCCUCUCAGUGCCGCAGUUAACACAAUAAGUAAUCCACCUGGGGAGUACGACCGCAAGGUUGAAACUCAAAGGAAUUGACGGGGGCCCGCACAAGCAGUGGAGUAUGUGGUUUAAUUCGACGCAACGCGAAGAACCUUACCAAGUCUUGACAUCCCUUGACGAUGCUGGAAACAGUAUUUCUCUUCGGAGCAAGGAGACAGGUGGUGCAUGGUUGUCGUCAGCUCGUGUCGUGAGAUGUUGGGUUAAGUCCCGCAACGAGCGCAACCCUUAUGGUCAGUUACUACGCAAGAGGACUCUGGCCAGACUGCCGUUGACAAAACGGAGGAAGGUGGGGAUGACGUCAAAUCAUCAUGCCCUUUAUGACUUGGGCUACACACGUACUACAAUGGCGUUAAACAAAGAGAAGCAAGACCGCGAGGUGGAGCAAAACUCAGAAACAACGUCCCAGUUCGGACUGCAGGCUGCAACUCGCCUGCACGAAGUCGGAAUUGCUAGUAAUCGUGGAUCAGCAUGCCACGGUGAAUACGUUCCCGGGCCUUGUACACACCGCCCGUCACACCAUGAGAGCCGGGGGGACCCGAAGUCGGUAGUCUAACCGCAAGGAGGACGCCGCCGAAGGUAAAACUGGUGAUUGGGGUGAAGUCGUAACAAGGUAA